AACGAACGCUGGCGGCAUGCCUAACACAUGCAAGUCGAACGAGACCUUCGGGUCUAGUGGCGCACGGGUGCGUAACGCGUGGGAACCUGCCCUUAGGUUCGGAAUAACUCCCCGAAAGGGGUGCUAAUACCGGAUAAUGUCUUCGGACCAAAGAUUUAUCGCCUUUGGAUGGGCCCGCGUUGGAUUAGCUAGUUGGUAGGGUAAAAGCCUACCAAGGCGACGAUCCAUAGCUGGUCUGAGAGGAUGAUCAGCCACACUGGGACUGGGACACGGCCCAGACUCCUACGGGAGGCAGCAGUGGGGAAUAUUGGACAAUGGGCGAAAGCCUGAUCCAGCAAGGCCGCGUGAGUGAUGAAGGCCUUAGGGUUGUAAAGCUCUUUUACCCGGGAUGAUAAUGACAGAACCGGGAGAAUAAGCUCCGGCUAACUCCGU
rnacentral:rRNA from 1 species